UUUUCCUCUCUCUGUUCAGCUUGAUUGUUUUCUAUUAGUCUGUCCUACAGGUCAUUGAUCCAUUCUUCUUCCUCUAGUCCACUGUUUAUUCCAUCUACUAUAUUAUUAAUUUCACAUACUGAGUUCUUUAUCUCAGAUUGGUUCUUUUUAUGUUUUCUAUCUCUUUGUUAAGGGUCUCACUAAGGUCCUCCACUCUUUUCUCCAAUCCUGUGAGUAUCUUUAUGACCAUUACUUUAAAUUCUUCAUCAGGAAUAUAUACUAUUUUGUUCCAUUUAGUUUAGCUCUCUUGUUACGAUUUUGUCCUGUUCAUUUGUGGUAUAUUCCUGUAUCUCAUUUUGUCUCUCUGUGCCUGUUUCUUGGUAUUAAGAGAGUCAGCUACCUCUCCUGCUCUUGAAAGUUAUGGUCUUAUGAAGAAGAGGUCCUGUGGUCCCUGCAGUGCAGUUUCCCCUGUUUACCAGAACUGUGUGCUUUAGGGGAUGUCUGCUGUGUAUGUUGUGAGUGCCCUUUUAUAGUGGCUUCAGUCCGGUCAUCUGCAAUGAUGCCUGUUGUGGGCAGGGUUUGGUCCCUGAGUUGUCAGUGGGCCAGUCUGGGGCCGCAUCUGGCUUGAGUCGAGUCAGACCAGGUGUUUGCCAGAGAUGCAGUAGCACCGAACUACUGGGCAGUUUCCUUGUGUUGUCCCAAGAAGCUUCUGUUGGUGGUUAGGGCCUGCAGUCCAACCAAAUAUCUGUUCCCAGCCCGUUGCUGGGACCAUAGUCAGAGUGGUGUGUGUGGUUAUCUUCUCCUUUCCCUGGGGCAGGAGUAAUGCUGUUCCCUGUCUGGGCUGCAUGCACAUUGUCAGGCUUGUAACGCUCACUGCUUUGGAUGGGCUCUGGCCAAGGGUGCCCUGGAGGGAGCAAGUCCACAGGAGGAUGUGGGGGUGCACUUGGGAGGGGACCUGUGGCCACCCAAAAUCCCUGCCGAGGCCUCUGGGUUGGAGGGGGCAGAUCCACAGAAGUGUGGGGAUGGGGUGCAUGUUGUUAUCAAGCCAGCUGGAGAGUGUUGUACUCUGCUGGUUCCUGCAGCUGUCCCUGUAUCUAGGCUGGGGGGUGGAGGAGGGAAAUAGCAUUCACCAGUUCCUUUGUUCUUGAAGGACUCUCCCAAGAAUCCCUGCCCUGCGCCUUCAGAACAUGCUCUGAGGUUAGUAAACGAGUCUCCCUCCCGUACACCCAGGUAUUUUUCAGACUGCUGCUUCUAUGUUGUAUCUCCACAGGGCUGUUUGUUGUGCUAUUUAGUGGCAAGGAGUCAGUUGACUAUUGUCCUCUCCCAGAGCUGAGCCCUCUGAUAUUUAAAGUUCAGACUGAUUCUAAGAACUAGUGAAAUUAGGCUAUUUUGAUUUUCAAAGCUAAAUGUUAUGGGAUUCAUCUUCCCUGUAUGGGCUCCUGUGCCUGGGGUGCCUGGUGUGAGGGUCUGUUUCUUGUCCCUCUCCAUAUCUGGGGCAUCCCUCCCUCGCAUGAAUGGUCUUGUGGUCCAUUUAGCUUCCAACCAGGUCUCUACCUUUCCUGUCCUCUUCGGUGUGGACUCUAAUCUACAUUUAGCUGUGGAGAGUCUCUUCUGCCCUGUUCUAUUUUUAAAGCAUUUAUAAACAGUGUUUUUAAUUUAUCUUCUUGCUAGGUCAUUAUUAGUUUAUAGAAAGGCAGCAGAUUUCUGUAUAUUGAUUUUGUAUCCUUCAGCUUUUACUGAAUUCAUUUAUUAGAAUGGUAUUUUUGGUCUUUAGAAUUUUCUAUAUAGAAUAGUAUGUCGUCUACAAAUAGUGACGGUUCUAUUUCUUGCUUACCAAUUUGGAUGUCUUUUAUUUAUUAUAUGAUCAUUAUGGCUCAGAUUUCUGUACUGUGUUGAGUAAACACGGUGAGAGCAGAUGUCCGUGUCCUGUUCCUGAUCUUAGAGGAAAAGCCUUCAGCUUUUCAUUAUUGGGUAUGAGGUUAGCUGUGGGUUUGGGCUUUUAUUAUGUUGAAGCAUAUAUACCCACUUUGUUGAGAGUUGUUACCAUGAACAGGUGUUGAGUUUUGUCAUAUGUUUUUUCCUGUAUUUAUUGAGACCAUGAUUUUGAAUCCUUCAUUUUGUUAAUGUGUAUCAUCACAUUGAUUUGCAGAUACUGAACUAUCCUUGUAUCCCUGGAAUAAAUCCUUUUUGAUCUUGCAGGCUGAACUCUGGUCUGCACUGAAGAUGCACUGUCACCAAGUGACAGGGCUGCCUUUGGGUAAAGCCUCAGAGUCCAAAUGGCCAAUUGAUCGUCCACAGAGUUAUCCAUAGAGAUUUAACACUAUUUAUGACUACACUGUGUUUUUGUAAUAGAAUUUGUUAUUACAGCAGUUAAGUUUGAGGACUGAAGGAGCCACUAAUUUGAUAAUAUGUAAUGUAUACAGAGUAAGAUUUAAAGAAAUAUGAAUGCCCAGAAACAAUUAAAUACUUUAUUCAUUAAUGCUUAAUUGUUAUCAAUGACAGCUUAAUCUAACCUUGAUUUUGCCAUGUGGUUUAUGCAGAAUGCCUUUUCAAUUCACCGAUUAUCAACACACUGUGAAAGUCCAGUGGGGUCAUAGAAAUGACUUCUCAGUCCAAUGUGCUACCCAUGUCACCGGACUCCUGUCUUUGGGGCUAAUGCACAGUCAACACACCUUCCUACCAUCUCUGCAAUGGCUCACAGGAGGUUGUGAAGAUGUCUCUGCGGAUAUUAGGUACCAUAGCCAUCACCUCCACCUGACAGAUGAGGAAACUGAGGCACAAAAAGGCCAAUUUGGCCAAGGGCACCCUGCUGGUGAGUGGCAGAGUCCAGAUUGGGAGACCAGCAGUGAGGGACUCAUCUUGACAUCCUGCUGCUGGCCAAAUACACCACGGGCUUCCCCACCUUCCAUGCCUUUGCUCAAGCCCUUUGCCCCACCUGGAACGCCAACUGUUCCUUCUCUCCUCCCCAUCUCCGCCUGAUAAGUUCUCCUUCUAAGCCCCAUCUGAAACAUGACUUCCAUUGUAAAACCACCCUCCUUUCUCAGAUUAGAAACUGUAAAGAUAAAGGUACCAAGACAAAAAUAAAGGGCAAAAAAAUUUGUU